rnacentral:rRNA from 1 species
AGCUUGCUUCUGGCUGGCGAGUGGCGGACGGGUGAGUAACGCGUAGGAAUUUGCCUUAAGGCGGGGGAUAACUCGAGGAAACUCGAGCUAAUACCGCGUACGCUCUACGGAGUAAAGAAUGGGGUCUUCGGACCAUUCACCUUAAGAGAAGCCUGCGUCGGAUUAGCUUGUUGGUGAGGUAAAGGCUCACCAAGGCGACGAUCUGUAGCUGGUCUGAGAGGACGAACAGCCACACUGGGACUGAGACACGGCCCAGACUCCUACGGGAGGCAGCAGUGGGGAAUAUUGGACAAUGGGGGCAACCCUGAUCCAGCAAUACCGCGUGUGCGAAGAAGGCCUUCGGGUUGUAAAGCACUUUCAGUUGGGAGGAAAGUUCCUGUUCUAAUAGGACAGGAAAUUGACGUUACCAAAAGAAGAAGCACCGGCUAACUCCGUGCCAGCAGCCGCGGUAAUACGGAGGGUGCGAGCGUUAAUCGGAAUU